ACCAGCCCAGCCCUCACUCUGCAGAUCUUCAGAGGAUCCCAGCACUGGAUGCCCUUCUUUUCCCACUUGGUGAUCAGGACUGAGUACAGAGAGCUCACCAUGGAGCUGCCGCUGAGCUGGGUUUUGUUUCUUGCUGUUUUAAAAGGUGUUCAGUGUGAGCAGCAACUCGUGGAGUCCGGGGGAGGCUUGGUGCAGCCCGGGGCGUCCCUGAGACUCUCCUGUGUGGCCUCAGGAUUCACCUUCAGUAACUAUGGCAUGGACUGGUUCCGCCAGACUCCAGGAAAGGGGCUGGAGUGGAUCUCAUAUAUCAGUAGUAAUAGUGGUACCAUAUACUACGCAGACUCCGUGAAGGGCCGUUUCACCAUCUCCAGGGACAACAGCAAGAGUACACUGUAUCUGCAGAUGAGCAGCCUGAGACCCGAGGACACCGCCAUGUAUUACUGUGCCAGAGACACAGUGAGGGAAACUUUACUGUGA